rnacentral:tRNA from 1 species
GUACCCUUAGCUCAGUUGUUUAAAGCUGACGGCUCAUAACCGUCCGGUCAUAGGUUCGAGUCCUACAGGGUACA